GGGGAUAUUGCACAAUGGGGGGAACCCUGAUGCAGCGACGCCGCGUGGGCGAUGGAGUACUUCGGUAUGUAAAGCCCUAUCAGCAGGGAAGAAAAUGACGGUACCUGACUAAGAAGCCCCGGCUAAAUACGUGCCAGCAGCCGCGGUAAUACGUAUGGGGCAAGCGUUAUCCGGAUUUACUGGGUGUAAAGGGAGCGUAGACGGCGGUGCAAGCCAGAUGUGAAAGCCCGGGGCUCAACCCCGGGACUGCAUUUGGAACUGUGCUGCUAGAGUGUCGGAGAGGCAGGCGGAAUUCCUAGUGUAGCGGUGAAAUGCGUAGAUAUUAGGAGGAACACCAGUGGCGAAGGCGGCCUGCUGGACGAUGACUGACGUUGAGGCUCGAAAGCGUGGGGAGCAAACAG
rnacentral:rRNA from 1 species